AUUGAACGCUGGCGGCAGGCCUAACACAUGCAAGUCGAGCGGUAGAGAGAAGCUUGCUUCUCUUGAGAGCGGCGGACGGGUGAGUAAUGCCUAGGAAUCUGCCUGGUAGUGGGGGAUAACGUUCGGAAACGGACGCUAAUACCGCAUACGUCCUACGGGAGAAAGCAGGGGACCUUCGGGCCUUGCGCUAUCAGAUGAGCCUAGGUCGGAUUAGCUAGUUGGUGGGGUAAUGGCUCACCAAGGCGACGAUCCGUAACUGGUCUGAGAGGAUGAUCAGUCACACUGGAACUGAGACACGGUCCAGACUCCUACGGGAGGCAGCAGUGGGGAAUAUUGGACAAUGGGCGAAAGCCUGAUCCAGCCAUGCCGCGUGUGUGAAGAAGGUCUUCGGAUUGUAAAGCACUUUAAGUUGGGAGGAA
rnacentral:rRNA from 1 species